rnacentral:rRNA from 1 species
UACGGGGGGUGCGAGCGUUGUCCGGAAUCACUGGGCGUAAAGGGCGCGUAGGCGGAUCGACCAGUCUGUGGUGAAAUCCUUCAGCUUAACUGGAGAAGUGCCGUGGAUACUGUCGGUCUCGAGGAGGAUAGGGGCAUCUGGAACUGCCGGUGGAGCGGUGAAAUGCGUUGAUAUCGGCAGGAACUCCGGUGGCGAAGGCGAGAUGCUGGAUCCUUUCUGACGCUGAUGCGCGAAAGCCAGGGGAGCAAACGGG